rnacentral:rRNA from 1 species
GACGAACGCUGGCGGCGUGCUUAACACAUGCCAGUCGAACGGAAAGGCCCUGCUUUUGUGGGGUGCUCGAGUGGCGAACGGGUGAGUAACACGUGAGUAACCUGCCCUUGACUUUGGGAUAACUUCAGGAAACUGGGGCUAAUACCGGAUAGGAGCUCCUGCUGCAUGGUGGGGGUUGGAAAGUUUCGGCGGUUGGGGAUGGACUCGCGGCUUAUCAGCUUGUUGGUGGGGUAGUGGCUUACCAAGGCUUUGACGGGUAGCCGGCCUGAGAGGGUGACCGGCCACAUUGGGACUGAGAUACGGCCCAGACUCCUACGGGAGGCAGCAGUGGGGAAUAUUGCACAAUGGGCGGAAGCCCGAUGCAGCAACGCCGCGUGCGGGAUGACGGCCUUCGGGUUGUAAACCGCUUUCGCCUGUGACGAAGCGUGAGUGACGGUAAUGGGUAAAGAAGCACCGGCUAACUACG